rnacentral:rRNA from 1 species
CCCUGUCAUGGUCGUGUAACAAGUAACCGUAAAACGGUAGCUAAUACCGCAUAAUGUCGCAAGACCAAAGAGGGGGACCUUCGGGCCUCUUGCCAUCAGAUGUGCCCAGAUGGGAUUAGCUAGUAGGUGGGGUAACGGCUCACCUAGGCGACGAUCCCUAGCUGGUCUGAGAGGAUGACCAGCCACACUGGAACUGAGACACGGUCCACACUCCUACGGGAGGCAGCAGUGGGGAAUAUUGCACAAUGGGCGCAAGCCUGAUGGAGAGACGGGGCCGCGUGUAUGAAGAAGGCCUUCGGGUUGUAAAGUACUUUCAGCGGGGAGGAAGGUGUUGUGGUUAAUAACCGCAGCAAUUGACGUUACCCGCAAAAGAACCACCGGCUAACUCCGUGCCAGCAGCCGCGGUAAUACGGAGGGUGCAAGCGUUAAUCGGAAUUACUGGGCGUAAAGCGCACGCAGGCGGUCUGUCAAGUCGGAUGUGAAAUCCCCGGGCUCAACCUGGGAACUGCAUUCGAAACUGGCAGGCUAGAGUCUUGUAGAGGGGGGUACAAUUCCAGGUGUAGCGGUGAAAUGCGUAGAGAUCUGGAGGAAUACCGGUGGCGAAGGCGGCCCCCUGGACAAAGACUGACGCUCAGUGCGAAAC